rnacentral:rRNA from 1 species
AACGAACGCUGGCGGCAGGCCUAACACAUGCAAGUCGAGCGCCGUAGCAAUACAGAGCGGCGCACGGGAUAAUAACGCGUGGGAACCUACCUUAUGGUUCGGAAUAACAUCGGGAAACUGGUGCUAAUACCGGAUAAGCCCUUCGGGGGAAAGAUUUAUUGCCAUUAGAUGGGCCCGCGUUAGAUUAGCUAGUUGGUGAGGUAACGGCUCACCAAGGCGACGAUCUAUAGCUGGUCUGAGAGGAUGAUCAGCAUCACUGGGACUGAGACACGGCCCAGACUCCUACGGGAGGCAGCAGUGGGGAAUAUUGGACAAUGGGGGAAACCCUGAUCCAGCCAUGCCGCGUGAAUGAUGAAGGCCUUCGGGUUGUAAAGUUCUUUUGACGGGGACGAUGAUGACGGUACCCGUAGAAUAAGCUCCGGCUAACUUCGUGCCAGCCGCCGCCGUAA